UCUGUCUCCUCUGUGUACAUGAAUCAGAACCAAAUCACCUCUGAGGAGGCUCUCUCUUAAAGGGAAGUAACAUGCCAACACAUCCUGCUGAGCCAUCAUUUUGGUAUUUUGGUACUCCCAGCAACUGGAACCAGCAACAUGGAGGAGCUGCCAUUUCAAGAACUUCUCAAGCUUGGCCUUUGGCUCCUGUUUCAGAAUGCAGGCAGAGCUUCCAUGAGAUGCUGCUGCAACCUCGUCUGUGGGUGUGUCCUCCACACUAGCACAAAGGUUGUCCCAGAUUAGAAGGUGAAAAAAGCAGACAAGGGAAGACAUGUUCUGUGAUUUGAUGCGUUCCUCCGAGACUGAUAGGACUCAGCUGAAUGCAUGGAGGCUUACACUGCUGAAGAGCAUGCGCACCAACCAAGAGGGCAGGAAAGCAUGCAGGGAACAAAAGUGUAACAUGCAAGAGGAGAUGUUGUGGCUUAUGGGGCAGCAAACAGACAUAUUGAGGCAUCUGGUUGAAGUGCAGGAAAGGCAGCUAGACCUUAGAGUUCUACUGCAUCCAGUGAUGAACCAGCUGCCCUCCUCACCAAGUUCCAUAUCCUCCACUC